UGAGGAAUAUUGCGCAAUGGAGGAAACUCUGACGCAGCCAUGCCGCGUGAAGGAUGACGGCCCUAUGGGUUGUAAACUUCUUUUCUGCUUCAAGAAACAGUCGUACGUGUACGGCUUUGACGGUAGAGCAGGAAUAAGCAUCGGCUAACUCCGUGCCAGCAGCCGCGGUAAUACGGAGGAUGCAAGCGUUAUCCGGAUUCAUUGGGUAUAAAGCGUGCGCAGGCGGGUGGGUAAGUCAGAGGUGAAAGCCCGCAGCUUAACUGUGGAAUUGCCUUUGAUACUGCUCACCUUGAGUCCAGCUGAGGUAGGCGGAAUGUAGUAUGUAGCGGUGAAAUGCUUAGAUAUACUACAGAACACCGAUUGCGAAGGCAGCUUACCAAACUGGCACUGACGCUCAGGCACGAAAGCGUGGGGAGCGAACA
rnacentral:rRNA from 1 species